CUCAGAGAAGCAUGAGGAUGGAUGCUGCUACAUCUGUUUCUCGUCUCUUUUCUAGGAUUCUGUGAAGCAAAUUUGUUUCAAAGUGAUGAGAGAAAAUGAGAGGCACGCCGCAGUUUGGGUUCCUCUCAAUUUUCAUAUCUCCCACUCUACUUUUACUUCAGAGGAUCCAGAUAACAUCAGUGCAUAUCAGUACUGCAAAACACACCUAUUUUCAGAUAAAGCAAAGGACUUUGACUAAAAGGCCUGCAAAAGGAGAAGAGUCAAAAGCCUCCAAUGGAGACACAAAUUACCCUCAAGUCUCAUCAGAUCUGAUCCUUUCAGAUAUUUGCUCCACCAUGUCUCUUCAGCCACAUACUCCUCCUGAUCUGUACGGAAACUCUGAUCAUGAUCACUCACCCCAUCCAAACCAUUUUGCAUUCAAAUGCUCUAACCGCUUCAACUGAAUUGAAGGUAAAGUUUUUACAAGUUUAUCUACAUUUGACAAGAAAUGGUGACAGGCUUUUAUAGCUCCUGCGAAUUUAAGGUAGGCUGUGUUCUUUGUCUUUCAUAUAUGUCAGACUUGUUACAUUCUUCAGCAAGUAAUUUGUCUUACCAUUUUUAUGACCCAUGAUAAUAGUGAUGAUGUUAUUAUUUUGUGUCAAUUUCAUACCAAGUUCAAAUUAAUUAAGGUUUUACCAGUUUAGAAGUAUAUUGAUCUCGUCACUGUUCUGUACCUCUGUUUGGUUAUUCUUGGAAGCAUUUGCAUGUACAGGAUCUUAUAAAUUGAAGGAGUUGUUGGAGAUUGUUGAUGUACGUGAAGAGCAACAUAGAGAUCUUAAUCCUGCCAACGCUUCCCAUAAUUUGUUCACAACAAGAUCUCCAACGGACAAUUCGAGCAAUAAUAUUUCUUCUCCAAACUCCUCUGUUAAUCCCCGGAGGCCUAAUGUUACCUCUAUAUGUAACGACUAUUCCUUAUAUACUAAUAGAGUUAUUUUAUUUAAUCUCGAA